rnacentral:rRNA from 1 species
UUCCUCUCGCUCCUCCUGUGGGCGGCGCCGCCGCUGCGCACAGAACACAUCCUCACCAGCGUAGCUUCUCCGGCGUCCGGCCAACGCGCUCACUAGCCUCCCGCCUUCCUCCACAUCUCCUCGCCUCCACCCCAUCCAGUUCGUGCCAUUCGCUGCUCCAAGACAAGGGCAUGGCGCUCGGCGGCUGCGGCAACGAAGCUGAUGGUGCACGAGCCAACCAUGAAGGCAGUAGCACGGGGCAGCGACAGCAGCAUGGAGGGCGUCCUCUUGUUUGGGAAGGUAAUGGAACUGCAAAUAGGAGUGGCAGCGGCGACCAGGAUGCAAAUGGAAGUGGUUCCCAAAGACCUUGGAAAGGUAUUACUAUGCUUUGCUUGGUCACACGAUGCUAUUGGAACCAUGAUCUUUAUUUGCUAGGUUCAAUUAAACUGA